ACCGACCCGGGCUAGCUCCCAUUCCCUUUUCCCCUUAACAGCAAACAACAGCGAACAACAAUAUUCAACGAUAAAGUUCCUUUUCUAUAACAGCGAUAUCAACGCUGCACAACAGCAACAAUUUCAACGCACCAAAAAUCAACAACAACCGACAACCGACAACGACAGUAGCAACCCAUACUAGCCACAUCAAUAACACCCACAAUUUCAACGCAACAACAGUAAAGCAAUUUUGAGAUUCAAAUCUCAAUUGGUAUUCCCUCUUUACCCCUCCCUCCCCCCCCCCCCCCCCCCCCCCAACCGCACAACCACCACCCAAACACCAUGUAGAAUGAAGGGAGAAGGGGAUUCUUUGAGGAAAAAUUGAGGAUUUGGGGGAGCAUUUCUCUAAUUCCACAUAACCGAAGAAUUUGAAAACUUAACUCGAAAAGUUCGACGAACUUGUUUGAACACGAUUGAGUUGAAUUAGAUUUUGGUGGUGGAAGCUUCAUCGUGAUAGACUCGUAGUCCCGGUUCCUGCCCCGAAAAAGGUGAGAGUCUGCCCCUUUUAAAUUUUGAGUUUUCAUCUCUUUGUUGUUGUUUUUUUUUAUCCCGUUUGGUUUUGUGAAUAUGUGAAUUUAUUUUAUUCUUAAAUUCGUGGUUGUUGUUGUUUCCCGUUACCUUUAGGCAUUGAAAAAUAAAAAUUCUAAUUUUGUGAAUCUAUCUUAUAGUUGAACAUGUAAAUUAACAAAUGAAUAUGUGAUCUUUUGGGUUUCGAAUCGGCUAUAGUGGUUUGUUUAUCAAGUUCCGUGGAUAUGGUUCCGUUUGAAACCUAUAUUGAUUUAAUACGUAUGGUUGAUUUCUCUGUUUUAUUUAUCAUCAAAAUAUAAGCCUGUGAAUCAUGGGAAAAGUAUGCCGCCUCCCCGAAUUCCACUUUUUAAUAAACUCCUUUUGUGCUCUUUUGUUAUUGUUGUGAUUUUAAUUUUAGAAGAGGUGUGUGAAAUCGUCCUGUCUCAUCUCGUACAACUAUUUUGAGUGGUUGUUUUGUGUAAAUAUAUUAUGUACGUGGUUAUGGUUCUAGUUCAUUAUUCAAGAGACACAGAAGAUAAGGGGUUGCUUUGGAUUCCUUUUGAUAUCAAUAAGUUUGUUUGAAAAAAAAGGUAUGUAUGUAUAUAUAUAUACACCUUAAAUGACUAGAUUUGAUGUAUAUAAAUAUGGAUGCAUGUGUCCUGGAUUGGCAGUGCUUCUUAACAUUUUGGCCAACUUGAAUGGCCUCGCAAGUAAUCACUGUGUUUACCUUGGUGUGGAGUUCUUAAAGUUUUAUUCUAUCUACGUAUGUGUUCAUUGAUAAGGGUCUAAUAUAAUUUUUUUUUUUCUCUCAGCUAGAUUGAAAUCAUUAGAAAUUUGGUAGUUUAGAUUGAAAUUAUUAGAAAUCUAAUAGUUUACUUAUUUAUUAUGCGCACAUACAUUUGAAAUAUGGAAUAGCUGUUGAGUUGCAAGUGACGUGUCACAUGGGAUAGUUGUUGAGAUGUACAGAGCCCCUUUGUCCCUUUGUUUCUUAUAACUCAAUUGAGAGUAGCCUAGUUAAAUCAUGUCACAUGGUAAUGUGAUGGACUAGCAACUUAAUCAUUUUAUUUGUAUUGAUGCUUUAGUUAGUUUAUGACACAAUGUGCUCGACUUUUGAAUUGUUCUAGUUUGAAGCCGUAUUAAUUACUUGAAUCUCGUACAUUUUUUUGGAGUUAUCUUCAGUAAUACCCUUGAACCAUAUUUCAUUAUUUCAAUCCAUUUAAACUUCAUAGUAUUCAAUUUCCUUAUGCGUUGUUCAACUCCUUUGGUUACGAAUUGUACUUUGUAGUUCAUUUACUCUAUUCAAAUUUGAUUUUUAAUUCGUAUCUUCUCUUUGAUGCAUGUGACAUGAAUCCGAGUCUAUUGGACUCCAUUUUCCUCGCAUAUUCUGAUAUGCCAAGGAGGCCUAUGCUGUAUCAAGUCAAGCCUCUACCAAAGUCCAAAACUGGACUGAUAUACAUGAGAUAUACACUUAGAUACAGCUGGUGUACACUGGAAAGCAGCUGAUAACGGCGUAUAUUAAAAGUGGAAGCGAGCAUACAAGGUUUAUACUCAGAUAUACAGUGCGUAUACAAAAACUCAGCAGCAAUAGGGCUGAUAUACAAGUCAGUAUACAGCUGAUAUACACUUCAGAAAAAUGGACUGAAGUCCAUAAUUCAAGCCCAAAACUGGGCAGCUUCAUUAAUGGGCCAAUUGAGGGCCUAAUUUUAGUUCUUGCAUUAUUUUUUGUAGCUUGUAUUGUUUAUUUGUGCUAACUAACAUUUAAAUUAAUUAAUCUAGAUAAAUUUUCUAAGGUAUUGCUGUUUUAUUUUAUCUUUUUUAAAAAAAAAAUUAAUCCAUGAC
rnacentral:lncRNA from 1 species